CCAGAGCCUCUGCAUUGGAUCUGCCGGGGUUCCGGGAAGAGGCAGGCCUGGCUGGGCCAGACUUAGAGGAAGGCUUUGGGGCAGGAGCAGGGAACAGCCUAGUCUUGGCUGUACUUUUUAUCUCAGUGAUGCCCACCCUUUCUGUGUUCCUGGAUGUGCCCUUGGCCCAGAAGCUAGAAGGCAGCUUGUUAAAGACCUACAAGCAAGACGAUUGUCCUAAGAAGAUUUUCUUGGCCUAUAGAGUCUGCAUGACCACUGAAGGCCAACCCUGGGUUUCUUCCGUGGUGCCCAAGAUCCGGCUUCAGAUAUCGCAGGACCCGUCUCUGAACUACGAGUAUAUGCCAAUGAUGGGUAUGAAAUCAUUCACGGAGGCCUCCUUGAAACUCCUCUUUGGAAAGUACAACCAAGUCAUUGUGGAGAACAGGGUAGGGGGCGUGCACACUGUUGGUGACAAUGGUGCCUUCCAACUUGGGGCCCAGUUCCUCAAAAUCUGGCGUAAAGAUUCUCGAAUAGUUUACAUCAUUUCUUCUAAAAAAGAAUCACAUGGACUCAUCUUCCAGGACAUGGGCUUUACAGUUUGUGAAUACUCCUUGUGGGAUUCCAAGCAGCUGUGCAUGGACCCCAAUGUGCUUCUCGAUGUGGCGGAGCAGGCCCCGCAUGGCUGUAUCUUUGUGAUUGGGAACAUUGGUGACUGCAAGUUGACACAGAGUCAGUGGGCAAGGUUGAUAGCCAGCAUGAAGAGCAAGCAGAUAUUCCCAUUUUUUGACAUUCCUUAUCAAGGUUUGUCCACCGGGAACUUGGAGGAAGAUACUGGAUUCUUACAAUACUUUGUGUCUCAGGACUUUGAGUUCUUCUGCAGCCAGUCUCUGUCCAAGAUUUUUGGCAUCUAUGAUGAAGGAGUGGGGGUCCUGGUCGUGGUGGCACUCAACAACCAGCUCCUGCUAUGCGUCCUCUCCCAGCUGAUGAAUCUCACCCAGGCCCUGUGGCUAAACCCUCCUACUAGAGGUGCUCGCAUUAUCACCUCCAUCCUCUGUAACCCUGCUCUUCAGGGGGAAUGGAAGCAGAGUCUGAAAGAGCUUGUAGAGAACAUCAUGCUGAUCAAGGAAAAGGUGAAGGAGAAGCUCCGGCUCCUGGGAACCCCUGGCUCUUGGGAUCACAUCACAGACCAGAACGGGCCCCAGAGCUAUCUUGGACUCAACUAACAUUGGAACCAGAAAAAUGCCCCCUCGGAGAGGCAGCCUACCCGGUUCUGCAGAAACCUGUGCUUUCUGCAAGCAACUCCAAUCUGGUAAAUAGAGAGGCAGAGAUAAAGGAGAAGCAGGCUCCUCACAGGGAUCCCAGGAUCACACCCUGAGUUGAAGGCAGAUGCUCAACCGCUCAGCCACCCAGGUGUCCCAUGGUGGAAACAGAGGCAAUGCCAUAAAAAACAAAUCCAGUAUUGACACAUACUAUAACUUGGUUGAACCUUGAAAAACCUGAACCUGAGUGAAAGAAGCCAGACACAAGAGGCCACAGAUAGUAUGAUUCCAUUUAUAUGAAAUCUCCAGAAAAGGCAAAUCUGUAAAGGCAGAAAGCAGAUUCGUGAUGGCCAGAGGCUGGGCAGGAGGUACGGGCACUGAUUCCUCACAGGCAUGGAGCUUCAUUCUUGGGUGAUGGAAAUGUUUUGGAAUUAAAUGAUGGUGAUGGUUGCACAACAUGGUGGAGAUCCUAAAAACCACUGCACUACACACUUUAAGAUGGUGAAUUUUUGGUUAUGUGAAUAAUAUCUCAAAUAAACAAACAAACAAACAAAAGCUUGGUAUUUAAAAAAGUAAAACUGAAAGAUUUAGGUUAAGAAUUUAAGAGUCCAUUUUCAAAGGGUCAUCUCUUUGCAUUCUCAAGGGAGCCCUCUUUUUCUAGGGCCUCAGGGACCUCACUGGCUGGUGUGGAUGUCAGAGAAGAAGAGAGGGAGAAUGAACUAGAAGGACCAGUCAUGGCUCUGUGUCUUUAAGAUUUUAUUUUUAAGUAAUCUCUACACCCAAAGUGGGGCUUGAAUUUACAACCCUGAGAUAAAGAGUCACAUGCUCUGCUGACUGAGCCAGCCAGGCACCUCAGGAUCAGAGAGGUUUUACAAAUUAUGAAUGGCUAUUUAAAAAAUGAAAAUGUAAAGUGAACCUGUUUAUAGUAGCAUCAAGAAUACCAAAUACCUAGGAAUAAAUCUGACAAAAGAUGUACAAGACCUGCGUAGAAAACUACAAACACUGAGAGAAAUUACAUUUAAAAAGGAUCUAUCUUGCUCACUCUCUGGAAUAUUCAAUAGUGUAAAGAUGUGAAAUUUCCCCAAAUUGACCUGUGAAUUCAAUGCAAUCUCAAUCAAAAUUUGAGCAAGUUUUUGUUGUUGCUUUGUUGUGUCUUGUUGUGUUUUAGAAAUGAACAAGUUGAUUCUAAAAUGAAUAUGAAAAUGCAAAGGACUGAGAAUAACCAAGAAAUCUCAGUGGAUGAAGGACAAAGCUGAAAGCUUUACAUUAGAAGAUAUCGAGAAGUAUUAGAAAGCUAUAAUAAUUAAGACAGUGUGGCUUUGGCUCAAAAACAGACCAGUUGACCAAAGGGCCAGAAUAGAGGUCAGAAACAAACCCACAAAUAACCGUGGCAAUAGAGAGCUGGUGGGGGAAAGCUAAGUUUUUUUCAAUAAAUGGCGCUGGGUCUAUGGGAUAUAUUUGUGAAACACCAAAAGAAUCUUGAUUCCUAUCUGAUACUAUAUGGUUGGAAAAAUUUAUGCUUCCAUGGAAAACUGCAUUUUUGUAGCAGAGCCUCUGGGUUAUCUGAUGGUGAUUUUAUGGCCACUAUUUUAUAACUCUAUAAGUUGUAGAUAGCACAGAAAAAUUCAUGAAAAUAAAUUCUGUCUGGUUGAGGGACAACAUCCCCUCCACUCCUGUGAAAAACUUAUUCUGCCUUAAAUUGCAUAUUCAUUUCAAUAUUCUUGAAUUAUAAAUGUGUCUGUUCUUUGGACUCUUUUUUUAAGAUUGUUUAUUUAUUCAUGAGAGACAGAGAUAGAGAGAGAGAGAGGCAGAGACACAGGCAGAGGGAGAAGCAGGCUCCACGCAGGGAGCCCGACGUGGGACUCGAUCCCUGGUCUCCAGGAUCACGCCCCGGCCCGAAGGUGGCGCUAAACCUCUGAGCCACCCGGGCUGCCCUGGACUUCCUUUUGAACAGGUUGAAUCACCUUGCCAGUUUUACUUCCUAAUAAGU